GCCCUGCUGCCCUGUAGUCCUGCUGGGGUGCCAUACCUGUUGCCCUGACGCCCUGCAAGAUCUGCAGCCCUGCCUCCCUGCUGCCCUGUAGCAUUGCUGCCCUGCUGCCCUGCUGCUCUUCUGCCCUGCAACCCUGCCUACCUACUGCCUUGCAUCCCUGCCGCACUGUGAGGCUUGUAGCAUUGCCGCCCUACACCCUGAACCCUGCAGCCCUGGGAGGCCUGUAGCCCUGCAGCCCUGCUGCUCUUCAGCCCUUCUGCCCUGCUGUCCUGCAUCCCUGAUGCCCUGUUGCCAUGCAGCCCUCCGAGGCCUGCCACCCUUCCACCCUGCUGCCCUACCUCCCUGCAGCCCUGCCGCCCUGGUAGGCCUACAGCCAUGCCGCCCUGCUGCCUGGCCACUCAGUGACCCUGAGAGGCCUGCAGCCCUGCCGCAAUGCUUCCCUGCUGCCUUGCCACCCUGCUACCCUGCAGCCCUUCCAGCAUGCUUCUCUGCAGCCCUACUGCCCUGCUGCCCUGCAGCCCUGCUGCCCUGCAAGGCCUGCAGCCCGGUCACCAGUGUCACCCACCCGGCCUUUAAGGUUUCUGAGCAGACACUGGACCCUGACCUGACUGGACGCUGCCUCCUCCGGCUCCCUCUCACUUACAGACACUACUUGGCCAUCUUAAAGACACAGAUGAACUUCUUCCCAAAGAACUCAAAUUCCACAAUGGCAGAAAUUGUGUUUCCAUUCUUAUUCCCCAUUCUUUGCCAGCCUUGGAAUACUGUCUGACAUAGUUACCUAAGGACUAACAUCUGUGCCUGAUAGUAGAGUUAAACAGAGCCUGGAUAUUUGGGUCCCACUGAAAGCCCCAUGGAGUCAUUGUCACCCAUCUGUUCACCGAUAUAUAUGAAUGGGAGAAAAUAAAAAUCCUAGCCUGUGGAUCA
rnacentral:lncRNA from 1 species